rnacentral:rRNA from 1 species
CAAUAGCGUAUAUUAACGUUGUUGCAGUUAAAAAGCUCGUAGUUGGAUUUCUGGAGGGAGCGUCGGCCCGUAUUUACGAGUGCGUGACGUCUCUGUCCAUCCUUGCGGGAAGGCACGGCAUUGAUUUGUUGUGUCGGAUCGCAUCAUUUACUGUGAAAAAAUUAGAGUGUUCAAAGCAGGCUUUCGCUUGAAUACAUUAGCAUGGAAUAAUAAGAUAGGACUUUGGUGCUAUUUUGUUGGUUGAGCCUAAAGUAAUGAUUAAUAGGGAUAGUUGGGGGCACCUGUAUUGCGUUGUCAGAGGUGAAAUUCUUGGAUUUACGCAAGACAAACAGCUGCGAAANCGNNNGCCAAGGAUGUUUACAUNAA